AUUCACUAUAAAAUAAAAAAUCAAUAUUCAUACAUAUUUCAUAUAACUCUACACUACCAUCUACAUUCAAGUGAUCAAGAAGUCAAGGAAUCUCAAACAAGUUCUCUAAUAAGGUACAUUUUAUACAAAUUCUAGAUAGAUAGAUGACUACAAAAAAGAUAACAUGGAAAUCUAUGAUCUUGAUCUUAAAUUGUUACAAGAGUGAAAACCCUUUGGAGGAAUCAAAGGAACAUGUUUUGAAACAAGGUUCUUUUCAAAGACUAUGUUUAUCAGAUAUAAGCAAUUCAAGUUCAACUCAAGCUAUUGAAGAUAUUUCAGUUUCUUUUGCUGGCUCUAAGCUUCAUGCAUUCACACUUGAGGAGCUUAAAGAAGCAACACAUGGUUUUUCUUGGAGUAGUAUGUUGGGUGAAGGCGGUUUUGGACCGGUUUAUAAAGGUUUUGUUGAUGAUAAAGUUAGACAAGGUUUAAAGGCUCAAACUGUUGCUGUUAAAUGUUUGGAUUUGGAUGGUUUGCAAGGUCAUAGAGAGUGGCUGGCAGAGAUUAUAUUUCUUGGACAACUAAGGCAUCACCAUCUUGUGAAGCUAAUUGGAUAUUGUUGCGAAGAUGAACACCGGCUUUUGGUGUAUGAAUACAUGCCAAGAGGUAGCUUGGAGAGUCAACUAUUCAGAAGAUAUGCUGCUGCUAUGCCAUGGUCAACAAGGAUGAAGAUUGCAUUAGGAGCUGCUAAGGGUUUGGCUUUCCUUCAUGAAGCAGAUAAGCCUGUGAUAUAUAGAGAUUUCAAAGCUUCAAAUAUCUUACUAGACUCUGAUUAUACAGCUAAACUCUCGGAUUUUGGACUAGCGAAGGAUGGCCCUGAAGGAGAAGAAACACAUGUCACGACGCGUGUAAUGGGAACACAUGGUUAUGCUGCUCCUGAGUACAUCAUGACAGGUCACCUUACAACAAAGAGUGAUGUGUAUAGCUAUGGCGUCGUUCUAUUGGAAUUGCUUACCGGAAGAAGGGUAGUGGACAAGUCCUUAGAAUCAAAAAGAGGUAAGAGCUUGGUAGAAUGGGCAAGACCUAUGUUGAGAGAUCAAAAGAAACUUGACAGAAUCAUAGACCGUAGACUUGAAGGACAGUUUCCUAUGAAAGGAGCUUUGAAAGUUGCUAUGUUGGCUUUUAAAUGUUUGAGUCAUCACCCAAAUCCAAGACCUUGUAUGAGUGAUGUUGUUAAGGUCUUGGAACCACUUCAAGAUUUUGAUGAUGUUUUUGUAGGUCCAUUUGUAUAUGUUGCUGUAAAUGAAAAUGGUGACAAAGUCUCAGCCAUUUGAUCAUUUUGAUCAAUGGUUGAGAUCGAAUUAGAGGUUAGCUAAGAUGUUUGAGAUGGAAUAAGUACUAGUAGAUGAAAUGAAACUCAAGUGGUAAAGGUUUGAUGAUGUACAAGGGCUUGAAACAGGUUUUUGUAUGGAUGUUAUAAUUGUUAUUACACAUGUUUGGAUUGUUAUAGUUUGGAGACUUGAAGCUCUAGUACAGAAUAUACAAACUUAUCAGUUUUAUUCACAAGUGAUAUAUUUGACAAAAUUAUUGUUGGAUUGUGUUGGUGAUUUGGGAUUUCAAAUCAGUUUGAUAAAUGUGAAUAGUUAUUUUUCUUUUUCUCAUUAGGCAUAUUAGUAGGAUAGUUUA